rnacentral:rRNA from 1 species
UCGAUUUGGAGUUUGUUGCCUAGAGUGAUGGGCUCCGAAGCUAACGCGAUAAAUCGACCGCCUGGGGAGUACGGCCGCAAGGUUAAAACUCAAAUGAAUUGACGGGGGCCCGCACAAGCGGUGGAGCAUGUGGUUUAAUUCGAUGCAACGCGAAGAACCUUACCUGGUCUUGACAUCCACAGAAUCUUGCAGAGAUGCGAGAGUGCCUUCGGGAACUGUGAGACAGGUGCUGCAUGGCUGUCGUCAGCUCGUGUUGUGAAAUGUUGGGUUAAGUCCCGCAACGAGCGCAACCCUUAUCCUUUGUUGCCAUCGGUUAGGCCGGGAACUCAAAGGAGACUGCCGUUGAUAAAGCGGAGGAAGGUGGGGACGACGUCAAGUCAUCAUGGCCCUUACGACCAGGGCUACACACGUGCUACAAUGGCGUAUACAAAGGGAGGCGACCUCGCGAGACCAAGCGGACCUCAUAAAGUACGUCUAAGUCCGGAUUGGAGUCUGCAACUCGACUCCAUGAAGUCGGAAUCGCUAGUAAUCGUGAAAUCAGAAUGUCACGGUGAAUACGUUCCCNGGGCCU